AUGUUGUAUGCGUAGCGAGGGAAACGAGGUGUGACGCGUGCAGGUUCCCUAUGCCACCUGUGUGUUAUGCCACCUGUGUGUGCCAAGUGUAGCUUCGUGAUUGGAGGAAACACUUGUAUUUAAACACGUAGCCUAUAGCAAUUAACGCCAUUUGCCUCACUUACUCCUGGGGUCUGCGUGAGCAUCUGGCCCCGACCUGGUAAAGGGUCGGUUUUGCCCAGCAGUAAGCCCUACACGUGGACAGAGGACGAACACCGGACGAGCGAACGGAGACCACAUGCAACAAGUGGUGACCCCGACGUGAUCUGUCUGCUGAGGGUGGCUGCCCGGCGUGCCCGUGACGCGGAGAAGAGCCUGUGAGGUGGCGGCAGGUCGCAUGCGUAACAAUGGACCAAGUCAUUAAGGUACUUGUGCAGUUUUGUAAGGACUACUGUGGAAAAUCUACUCCUUCCCGGAAGGAGAUCGCGACAGUUUUGUCGCUAUUAAAUGAGCUGGGGGAGCUGGACUCUCCCUGCCACAUUUUGGAUUCGAGUAGGUGGGACUUGCUCACCUCGGCGCUAUGCCAGCGCGCCAUGGCCAGUCAGAAGGCUACGGAACUUAAAACGUGGGGACUGAUGUUAGGAGCCCUUAAGGCGGCCAGGGAAGAGGACAAACUUGGCGCGGUCAUGAGCGGGGAGGGAGCUUCGGGGAGCGGGUCUUUGGAGUUUUGCAGGUCCGGCGCUCAGACCACAGCGAAAAAAACGGCGACGGAGAGAGAGGAAGAUUGCGAGAAGGACAAAGAAGAGUCGCAGAGGCUCGGGGGGGGUGCAACGACGCCGACGGCCCCUCCUAAUUCUAUUGCGCUGUCGCCGCCCCCGCCCUACCCUAAGCAGCCGUUAUAUCCUUCCUUGGCAACGACAUCGGAGCAGGGGGCGGGACCAUCCCCAAAAGGAAAGGAGGAGGGGAGACUUAAGCUUACUGAUUGGGGGCAGAUCAAAGAGGAAGUGGCACAGAAAGGCCUGGCGGCAACUUAUACACUCCCAGUUGUUGUCUCAGAGGAGGGAGGCCCAGUCUGGGUCCCGUUGGACCCAAAGGGGGUAGCAAGGAUGAUUGAGGCAGUAGAAAAGAAAGGGCUGAAAUCGCCAUUGACGAUGAAUGCCCUUGAGGCCCUCACAGCAUCGGGCCCAAUGCUGCCUUAUGAUAUUGAAAAUUUAAUGCGCAUGGUGUUGAAACCAGUGCAGUAUACGCUCUGGAGAGAGGAGUGGCAUACCAAAUUAAAACAAAUGCUGAUUACGGCGCAGGGUGAUCAAAGAAACCCCAUAUAUGGGUCCGAUAUACAGAGAUUAACGGGCAAUGCACCAGGUCUGCUGACCCCUCAAGCACAAGUUUGUCAACUUAGACCAGGAUAGUUGAUAGCGACUACGGACGCUGCAAUAGACGCGUUCCGAAAGCUUGCAAGGAGUGCUGAGCCCACUACUCCGUGGACAGAGAUCGCGCAAGGCCCCACAGAGCCGUUUCAGGAGUUUGCAGACAGACUAAUUAAGGCAGUGGAAGGCUCGGAUCUGCCCAGAGCAGUUCACGGUCCCGUCAUCCUGGAUUGCUUGUAUCAGAAGUCCAGUGAAGGGGUGCAGGGGAUUUUGCGAGUGGCGCCGGGGAGGCUCCAAACCCCUGGUGAGGCCAUCAAGUAGGUCCUAGAUAAGCAAAAGGCCUGUCCGUCUGUGGCAGGGGAGGUAGCUGCGGCGGUAGCAGGAGUGAUGAUGGCCUGUAGGGAGGCGGACCAUCAUAGUGCGGACCGACAGUUAGGACCUUGCUUUAAAUGUGGUCAGGCGGGCCACAUUAGGGCCCAGUGCAGAAUGGGUGCGGGUGGAAGCGUAACAUGUCAGCAGUGCGGGCGGAGGGGUCAUACAGCACCACAAUGCAGGGCCCGUAGGCCUCCACGCCAGGGAAAUAACAACGGGAGACAGUCCGAGCACGGUGACUUCAUUUUUCGACCUAUGCAGGCCCCUGACCUAAGUUUACCCAUGGCGGCGCUGUCUCUAAGUACCCAUGAGCGCCCUCUGGUGAAAGCCACUAUUUCUUGCACCAACCUCCCGCUGGAUUUUCAAGGCCCUCGAUCUAUCUUUGUCACUGCCCUCAUAGAUUCCGGCGCCGACGUUACUGUGGUCGCGGAAACAGAAUGGCCAUCCUCGUGGCCCGCGGAGGCCUCGCAGUCUAUUUUGGGGGUUGGAGGGGCGACCCCCUCACGCCGGUCUACCAAUGAGGUACAAGCGGUUGUGAUUAACAGGGAUGGCUCCUUAGAGAAACCGGCGUUGCUUACACCAUUGGUGGCGCGUGUCCCCGGAACUCUUCUGGGGCGGGAUUUCUUGCAACAGAUAGGCAUUCCACAGUAUCCUCUGAACACCUUCAAGGGAUACGUCACUAAUGUUACUGCUUGCGAUAACGACGCCGAUUUAGCCAGCCAAACAGCAUGCUUGAUACAGGCUCUAAAUACAACCCUCCCUUGGGACCCCCAAGAAUUGGAUAUUUUAGGGUCCCAGAUGAUCAAGAACGGAACAACACGUACGUGUGUUACCUUUGGUUCGGUGUGCUAUAAAGAGAACAAUCGCAGUAGAGUCUGUCACAAUUUUGAUGGGAAUUUUAAUGGGACUGGUGGGGCAGAAGCAGAAUUGCGUGACUUCAUAGCAAAAUGGAAAAGUGAUGACCUUCUUAUAAGACCCUAUGUCAACCAAUCAUGGACGAUGGUAAGUCCAAUAAAUGUAGAGAGUUUUUCAAUAAGUUGUAGAUAUUGUGGAUUCACCAGUAACGAGACUCGUUACUAUAGAGGGGACCUUUCUAAUUGGUGUGGUUCAAAAAGGGGAAAAUGGUCAGCGGGGUACAGCAACGGGACAAAAUGUUCCAGCAACACAACAGGUUGCGGUGGUAAUUGCACGACGGAAUGGAAUUAUUAUGCAUAUGGGUUUACCUUCGGGAAACAGCCAGAGGUGUUGUGGAACAAUGGGACUGCUAAGGCACUCCCCCCAGGUAUUUUCUUGAUUUGUGGGGACAGGGCUUGGCAAGGCAUCCCGCGUAAUGCCUUGGGAGGGCCCUGUUAUCUAGGACAAUUGACUAUGCUCUCUCCUAACUUUACCACCUGGAUAACAUAUGGGCCGAACAUUACGGGUCACUGCCGUAGCAGGCGCUCGCUGAGUCGUCUCUCGCCUGGCUGCGGUGAUGAGCUACAGCUAUGGAGUGUGACAGCCCGGAUAUUUGCUUCUUUCUUUGCUCCUGGUAUAGCCGCAGCACAGGCCUUAAAGGAGAUCGAACGAUUGGCAUGUUGGUCGGUUAAGCAAGCAAAUUUAACAUCAUUAAUAUUGAAUGCGAUGCUGGAGGAUACGAGCAGCAUCCGGCACGCAGUGUUGCAGAAUUGAGCAGCCAUCGAUUUCUUACUCCUGGCGCAGGGACACAGGUGUCAAGACGUGGAAGGGAUGUGUUGCUUCAAUCUCAGCGAUCACAGUGAGUCCAUUCACAAGGCGCUCCAAGCCAUGAAGGAACAUACAGAGAAGAUACGGGUGGAAGAUGAUCCCAUAAGGGACUGGUUUACGCGCACGUUUGGUGAUCUAGGAAGGUGGCUCGCGAAAGGUGUUAAGACGCUACUGUUUGCCUUGCUUGUCAUAGCCUGUCUAUUAGCUAUCAUUCCAUGUAUAAUCAAGUGCUUUCAGGAUUGUCUAUCGAGAACAAUGAAUCAGUUUAUGGAUGAACACAUAAAAUAUCAUAGAAUUAGGGAGCAGUUGUAGGUUCCGAACGCGAUGUGACGGGAGCUAUCGGCAUAGGGAGGGGGAGAUGUUGUAUGCGUAGCGAGGGAAACGAGGUGUGACGUGUGCAGGUUCCCUAUGCCACCUGUGUGUUAUGCCACCUGUGUGUGCCAAGUGUAGCUUCGUGAUUGGAGGAAACACUUGUAUUUAAACACGUAGCCUAUAGCAAUUAACGCCAUUUGCCUCACUUACUCCUGGGGUCUGCGUGAGCAUCUGGCCCCGACCUGGUAAAGGGUCGGUUUCGCCCAGCAGUAAGCCCUACAUGUGGACAGAGGACGAACACCGGAUGAGCGAACGGAGACCACAUGCAACAGUCUCAAAGGGAAUUCCUAAAGGUUUCUUCAUCUUUAAUGAGAAAAAUGGCCAUGCAGUGCUCUUGAACCAACUUACUUCCAUACCUAGUCAGGUCAAAGCAAAGUUCUGUCUGCACUGUCUUACCUGGAGCCUACUGGAAGACCUUCUUGCUACAGCUACAAGAAGCACUGUGUCCACAGGCUUUCAUUUUGAUGGAGGAAUUCAAACUCCUGGAGUGCAUUCGGAGAAGUUUCCUGGCCUAGCUAUCAGACAAACCAACCAGAGGAGAAGCAUUACCUGACCAGACACUCACCAUACAAAGGAGAUCAUUAAAUAUAUUAAGAGGUACUGUGAGCUGUAGUGAUAGUGCUCUGAUUAUGUUUGUGAUCUCAAGGAAUAUGGGCAUGGCAAAGAACAGAGACAGGACUCCGCACUUCAGAAGAGUGAUAUUCCAGCUGUUUAAGGAAUUACUGGAUGAGAUCCCCUGGGAAGCUGUCCUCGGAGACAGUGGAGCAGAGCAGAGCUGGCAGCUCUAUAAGGACACCUUUCUGACAACAUAAGAGCUCUCUGUCCCUCAGCAUAAGAAAUCAAGAAGAGGAGGGAGGAAACCAGCAAGAUUGAGUGAGGACCUGCUGGUCAAAAUGAGAAAUAAGAAGGAAAUUCACAGUUAAUGGAAUCAGGAAUGAGUGGCCUGGAAAGAAUACAGGAUUCCAUCUAGACAUGAAGAGAUGGGAUCAGGAAAGAUAAGGCACAGAUGGAACUGCAUUUGGUGAGGGAUGGGAAAAAUAAGAUGGUGGAAUAGAACCUCCUGGAAGCUAUCUUAAGACACAUGUGAGGCAAGGUGAUCUGUGACAAAGAACAUGGUCUUGUCAUGGGCAGAUCACACCUGACCGAUCUGGUGGCCCUCUACGAUGGAGUGUUGGCAUCAGUAGAAGAAAGAGGAGAAACUGGUAUCAUCUAACUGGAAUUCAGCAAAGUAUUUGAUACGAUCCCACACACCAUCCUUAUCCCUAAAUUGGGGAGAUAUGGACUUGAAGGCUGGACUAUUCAGUGGAUAAGGAAUUGGUUGUACAGCGUCAGCCAGAGGGUUGGGGUCAAUGGCUUCAGGUGAUGAGUGGUGUCCCCCAGGGGUCUGUCCUGGGACCGGUGCUUUUCAACAUCUUUAUCAACAACCUAGACAGUAGGAUUAAGAACACUCUCAGCAAGUUUGCUAAGCUGAGUGGUGCAGUUCAUAGAACAGAAAUAAGGGUUGCCAUCCAGAGGGACCUGGGCAAGUUUGAAAAAUUUUGAGAAACUCCUUGUAGGAAGUUUAUGCAUGAUAAAUGAUUAUGAUAUCUGAGUUCCAAUUGGGGAACACUGCUGUAUUUGUGAUGACUUGCUAGGAGUGUGUCAUUUUAGAUCUUGGAGACCUGUCUUUUGUAAUGGGAGCCUGCAAAUGCCCCCAACAAAUUCUUGUCACUGGAGCUGAACAGAUCAUCUGCAUAGUGAACUGUUAGUGCAUAAACUGAUGUUUCCAGAUACCUGCGGUAGAUAUCAAUUAAACCACAGAAAUCUAAUUGUACUUUACAAGAGCUGUAGCACUGUACUGACAAUUAAUUUCAAAUACAUUAAUGGACUUAGAGAUAGGUGCCUGUACGACCACGUGGAAAUCCAAGAGCAGUACUACCUUGAAUUCUUUCUCAAAAAUGAGAGUUAUUGUGGCCACGUUGUUCCUUGGGCUGUGACCCUUACAGUGAUCUUACAUUGGUUGAUGGUUGUCUUUCUGAUCUGAGAAAAGAUAAACUAGAUAAAAUUCCUAAACAAAUAAGAGUAGCUUACUUUUGUGUUGGAUUUUACAUGAUACAGAUGUCCUUCUUACAUUCCCUACUUCCUUUUGCUUGUUCCUAACAUGUGCAUAACAAUAUGACAGCCAUAAAUUGUCAUGACACUUAAACAUAAAGCACCAUUUAAGUCCUUUAUCUUAUCUGCUACUUGGUUCAGGUAAAUAAGAAUAAUUAAUGGCAGCUACACUACCUAUAAUCGUUGUUAUGGCUCUGAAUUAGCUGAUUUUCUGUUCCAGAACCCCAGGGUGAGAGGCAGAAUGCUGGGGAGCAUGAGGGAGAACUUACCGAGUGUCAGCUGAGAUUCUGUGUAUGGAAAUGGAUGUUAGUGAAGGUUAGGACCUAGGACUAGGACAAGGACUGCUAUCGCUACUGCUUUAUUUCUUGUAGUCUGCAGUGCAGAAACAGUGAGCAAUCUGAAAGACUGACUGGCAGUGAGAAUCAUAGGGAAGAGGAAAAAAAGGGACAAGGAACAUAUAAUGCUCCAACCCUCCUCCCCACCUCCAAGUUAAUUCAGUGUGGGCUUUUCUUGAUCAAAGUUCCUACCCCACAAUAUAUUGUAAUUUAUGUGUGUCUGAGGCGUACAGUAAUGCUGAGCUAAUGUGGUUUUGUACUUAAGUAAACAUGUUUUCAGAGUUGCUAAUGCAUGACAGAAAGUGCUGGAUCGAAGUCUUUCCUGAAUUAGAAGAAAGAAAAACAGCUAUUAUAAAAGGAGAAGUGUGCCUGACUGAGUAAUGCUGUAUCAGAAAGUCUGCAAACAAGUAUCUUAGUCUUUGAUAAGGAUCUAUUUUUAUUAAUUCCUGGGCUGAAAACCAAAUAUCCCUUUUUAACCUGGGAUGUUCUGUAGAGCACACAGCUAGUGCUUUUCAAAUUUUUAUCCUGUUUCGUAAGGGUGGUAAAAGACAAUCCAUUUCAGGCUUUAGGAAUGUAAGACACAAACAUCCCAAAUAGGUUUUUAAUUAAACAUAUAUUACCUUAGUUCAUGAUAAAAGAGUAAACAGUGAUAUGUACUGUUAUGGGUAGGAUAUAAAUCAAAUACAACUACUAUAUUUCCAUAUCUAGUGGAGUCUCAGCAUUUUUUUAAUCUGUUUAUCAUGCAACUGAUUAAUAUAUCAUUAAACAAAAAAGGCAUGUUAUUUCUCAUUGUGAAAGGUCCUUUCAUAAUGUUCUUCUGGAAAUCUACUUGGGUAGAGGAGUAUAUCUGCAUACAUGACAGCACAGACAUGAGGUCUAAGUCCUACCAUUAGUGGCAUUUUCCUGCCAUUCUCUUAAAAUGAGAUAGUGAAAUAAAAUACUGACUUUGUUUGAUGUAUUUUUUAUGUAUGUUCUAAAGCACUUCAUCUGAUAAACUAUCAUGAGAAAUGGACCUUCCAUAGCAUUUCCUAAUACAGCACAUGGUUUGGAUCUAUAAAGUAAACCACAAUAAGAAAACCACGUGUUAACAGUGUGGGAACACCAAGAAGAGAAACCUUUCUUGCUGUGUUUUCAAUAUGAGAUUUCUAGAUAGACUAGCACCACUGAUGUCUCUUUCAUCAGUGAGAUAGAUCCCCAUGCUUGGUCAGAGUAACAAAGACAGCUUGAACCAGAAAAGUUAGAAAAUGGAGUGAAGUAUGGGGAAGGAAGCUUUGAUGUAAGCUGAUGAGCUCAGUGGGUAUUUCAUGGGUUCAUGUGUAUAGUAUCCUCAUACUAUAAUGAUGGAGAAGUUUGAAACUGAAAAACAAACAUAUCCAACAAAUCUCAGAGUAAAAACCCAAGUGGCAGAAUCCCUACUUUCCCAGAGUUAUGAGAAACACCGAGUUACACGCUGAGGAUCCAGACAUCCAGCCUCAGACAGCGUUAGACGAUUUCAAAUAAAAGCUAUCCAGUGCAAAAAUAACAGUGAUGGCUUAAGAAGUCCUUCAACCUUCAAAUCACUAGGGAAAAGAGGAGAUUAUUUUGGAGAUGUAAUACUGUGCGCUCAAUCUGAUUUUUCCAUUCUUCUCUGGACAGCCACUGCUAAAGGCAAGAUAAAUUUACCUGAAAGACCUUCUAAGUUACCUUGUUGGCUUGUUUUUAUCUUCUUUUUUCCUAAAUGUAAGUGUGAAAACAAGUAACACCUCACAAUUUGCAGACAGGGAAGAAAUGAGUGUAAAGAAAAUGCAGCAGAUGUGAGCCAAGACAGCGUCAGCUAGAGCUUCCUCCUUGAGUGUAGACCUGAUGCCAGCAGACGGGUAGUAAUUUUGUGACAGUAUAAAAACUCAUAGUCACUGAGAGGGUACAAGCACUUCCUAAAUACACACACACAAAACACAAUCAAAUCAUGAGAGUGGCUGGACCACAAGAUUAUCCACUGCUUGAAGCGAAUGAAGUCAAUGUGAGAGAUAAGAGUAUUCCGACUUAAGCACAUGCUUAAAUUUAUUAAGGCACUUAAAGUUAGGUGCGUGCUCAAGUGCUGUUACUUGAAUGACAAGUGGGUUUAAAGCAUUUUCCCAAGUUGGGACUUUGCAACAUUGAUAGUCAGCUAUGCAACUGGUGAAACUUAAAAUAGAUGCAUGCACACACAAAAAUGCAAAAAAGAGAGUUUCUUUUUAUGUCUGUCUGCUAUGCUUAGUGGGCUUUCUUGGCUAAGUCUGAGCUAAAUAUUACUGAAAAUAGCAUAGUACUGUAGUUAUUUCAAAGCACUGUCUGUAUUUGUUCUGUGCACUGGGUGGGCAGGAAGCUUCAUUUCAUAAAUCACUUUCAACGAGACAGUAGACUAUAAAAAGGGAGCGUUUUUUUCCCUUCAGUGUUUUUCAUUCUCAAGGUUCUGAUCUGGUACAGCCUACAUACUGGGAAAAGUUCAAAAAAUGUUUCCCACUGCUCUGCAGACCUUCCCUUGCACACAAGGGAUCUAGGGAACCACCAGCAGGCACCCCGUGCUAGUGAGUCCCCCAGGUCACGGUGCUUAACUUGCUAUGAGGCAUUUGUCAGCAAAACUGCCGAAGCAUCGUCCCAUUCCCAGCUCCAUGGAAAGGCCUCCACAAGAAGUUUCACAGCGCACUGUCUACACAGGGAACCUGUCUGGUCAAACCAUUGUCCAGCAAAAGAAAACAGGUUGGUUUUCAUGGGAGACGUGCAGAGAUGUGCAGGAAGGAGCAGUAGGGGAAAAGGGGUGAGGAAGAGGGGAGGAGAAAAGCUCGAAUGAUCCAGCAUUUCUCCUUAUAAAUUAUUUGUUAAAACUUUGUUAGAUUGAGCUUUACACUCAAAAAGGAGCCAAAUGCUCCUUGUGGUACUUACUGGGAACCAAAGGGUAAGAGAGACAGAUAUAGUCAUUCACCUGCAGCAAGGGAAAAGUUGCUGCCUGAUUCAACCCACUGAGUCACAACUUUUCCAUUUAAUAUUAAUAAAAAUGGGGUUCCGCACACCAGUACCUAAAAUGCGCCCCUCAGUUUUGGCACUAUCUGUACAUGGGUUUCUAAAGUACUACAGAGAAAUAGUAUCACUGAGUGAGUGGGCUCUACUUAGGUUGGUUGUUUCUCCCCAGCCAGCCGAACUUCUACAGAACAGGGUUUAGGAAGCUCAGGAAAUUCACACCUGCUACAUGUCACACCAAACAUAAUACAGGAACAGCCAUACCGAGUCAGGGCCUCAAAUCAUCCUUUUAAGUCUCUGUUUGUGACUGUCCCCAGAGCUGAAGGCCUCAAUAAAGCACAACCAGCAAUUUUAGCAGAAGCCUUUCCCUGGGCUGCCCUCCCAUCUAUUGGCACUCCACAGCUCACCAGUCUCCUGACCUAAAAGUUGCAAACAAGCUGCUUGCUGUUUCCCACCAAGAAAGCUUCACACUGUUUUGGAACAGCACAUGUCUUCCAUGUUUGCAGUAAGUCCCCAUGCCAGGUCCAAAGCAGGACUCACUGUGGACUCGCUCUGCAUUUGGUGUCAGUGGGUUUAGAAACACAUUCCUCAAGUGCAGCACGCUACUAGGGUUCUUGCAGUUCAGGGAUUAAAACAGCUGCAAAGGCUCACUCUGAUCAGAGUGAAUCUAUUUUAUGUAUUCUCCAAGAAGUUUAAUCUUCUAUUUUUUUAAAGAACAGAUUGCUCUCAUUUUGGCAGAAAAACUUGUGUAAGGAGCUCUGGGACAAACAAUAGCAAACUUGGAAUGCUUAAUUUUGAAGCAGGAUUUACUAUUCUUUUUACCCUACAAACUCAGUCUAUGAAGGGGUAAAACAUGGUUGCUUAAAAUAAUUGUAAUUACUCCUCCAGUUGAAUCCAAUCAGGUGGAAUGGAUACUUAAGCAGAGUGUUAAUUAUGAUACCACCGAUGCUAGAGAAAGAAACCUAACUAAAAUCUAAGGCUACGUUCAGUUUACUGCAUGGAUUACACACAGGAUUACACUUUAAAACCACUGCAAGGUUGAAUGAUUUGUUUCAAUCCAAAUACCAUUUUUUUGCACAGUAUUAAGGGAAAUUUUGGAACUGGUAAGCAAGGUAGUCCACAGGAUUGUCCGCAGAGUACUUUGAAUUUGCAAGUAACCAUUUGUAAAUACCAUUUUGUAGACACCAAAACAGAAGCAGCAGCUGGACAUUGAACCUAAAUUAUUUUCAGUUAGGCUGAUGCAAGCAUGCAUACUGCUUUCGUUAGCUGAGACUACUCCAGCAUGUAAGACAACUUGAAGAGAGUUCAUGGCAGAUUACCACCCUUGAAGUUUAGAUUAAUGCUCCAUAUUUAGAACAAAGAUGCACUGGAGGAAUAAUUUUUAAAAAAUUAUUCCAACUCCAGCUUUCUAUGAUUCUAACUACUAGCAACCAUUAGCAACUUGCAAGGCUUGCAGGAAUUCUCAGUCUGAAUGCAACACAACUCCAAAGCUUUUCCUUCUGCAUGGCAGUAGUACUCACUGACCUCAGCCAGAAUUUCUGAGGUUCUCUACUGUUGUUGAGAUCUCUCUUUGUUGCAUUAACUGAUUCUGCCUCAAAAGGGAAAGUGCCCUUUAUAGGCAGAUUAAAACUUUCAAUUCUCUGUGGUAAUUAUUAAAUGAAUCAUGAAACUAAGGCUGCCAGCUGUGCCACGUUAAAUUGCACUCUCCCACGUUCAACAUUCUCUUGCUGAGCUUAGCUCAGAAAGUUUGUCAUUGGAUUUCCAUGAAUUUUCCAAGUAUUGAAGUUUGCUUUUAAAUUCUCUUGCAAUCAUGCAAUCCACACAAUAAGACUAAGCACUGUAAUUUGAUUAACAGAAAAUGAAAAUGAGCUAUCUAGAAAACAGUUUUAGUGGUGAUAUAUUGGCUAACUUCUGUGUGGCUCAUUUUGCAUCACUGUGCUCAGAAAUAAAAUGAAGUCUUUGAAAAUUAAAGCCAGAAAAAUCUCGCCCCAAACCAAGACUCUGAAAUGUAAAAUUAUUAGUUCAAGCUGAGUGAUAAAUGGCAGAAGUUUUCUGUUUUCCACAAUGGUGUAAACAGCUAGUUCAGCAGUGUUGUUGCUAUUGUUACGUAUUUAAAGUUGAAACCUGCUAUUAUAUAUCACAUUACAAAAAAGAGCUCUAGGUUAGACAACAUUUCAGCUUUUCUGUUCCUUAGACUUGGAUCUCAGGCCUAAAGGGAAUAUAUGUAAGACUGUAGGUUAUCACAUUUUACAUAAUAAUUUUGUCCCGUAUAUCUUGAUGGGUGGGGUGUAAAGCUAUUUUUCCCUACUCUCCUGAACAUGCUAGAAUAGUGGAUUUACAUCUUGAUUUUCCGUGCAUCUGUAGAAACAUUCAUUGUACCACACAUCACGUUUCGAGAUCUGGAUAUGCUACAUCGUGUUCUGUCUGAACUCAGGUUGUCCAUUAUCAUAGAAUCACAGCAUCACCAAGGUUGGAAAAGACCUCUAAGAUCAUCCAGUCCAACCAUCCACGUAUCACCAGUAUUUCCCACUAAACCAUGUACCCUGAUACAGCACCUAAACAUUUCUUGAACACAACUGUUCUCUUAUUAUUCUCUUGAAGCCAAAACUACCUGAAAAAUGCUGUGGCUUGGAAAAUGCACAUUUUAUCAUUGAGAUGUCACAUGAGACUUCGUCGGAAUUACUGUGAACUGCACAACCCUACUAAUUGCUUUUAAAAUAGUACCACUGAAAGUCAUCUGCUGAGCCAGCCUUGCAAGGCACAUUGAGCUCUGAGUGCUGAAGUGUGUGGCACAGGCAAGUCCCACCAUGGAAACAUGAUUCGAGACCUUCAACAGGAGGAAAUAUCUUCCAGCAGGGAGAGAUAAAGAGGAGCACUGCAUCACUCACAGUUUCUCUGCCAAGGGAAGCCUUCAGGAAGCAGUCUUCCUUUUGCUCAGAAAAUACAAAACAACGCUAUGAAAGCAAUUUAAGGAACUAUCUGGGAAGCAGCUUAAGGAAAAACACCACCUCUCCCAUGUAGACAGUUAAGGCACUGUGUUUACAAGAUGCGUGCUGAGCUCCCCUCUGGCUUAGCUGAGUGGAAGAAGAUGACCAGUCUAAAUAUAGUAAAAGGAGAUGCAGUGUGUUACAUACAGCCCAUGUAGCUUGUUCAGUCGAGAUUAAUUCAAUGAGGCAGACAGGAAGGUGACAUGCAUGGCUGGAGUGUCUUGGUCAUUUUAAAAUCAGUGUUUUACAUCUAGAUUUCCACUGCCCUAGAAUUCUUUGAACUGUUUCUACGCUUGAUAUGAUUUUCCCAUAUGAAGUGUUCAAGACCUAAGAAAAUGUAACAGAAAGGGCCUCUUAAAUCUACAUAACUCACUCUGCAAAUACAGGACUGGUCUAUAAACCUGCCCACUUCAAGGCUAUUGCACACAUUCCCUGUUUUAGAACCUGCAGAGCCAGUAUCCUCACUCUCUAUUCUUAGCUCAACGUUUCAUACAUCUUAUAAAAGCUGCCUAGAUGUGCACUCAAAAAUCACUCCAUUUUAAUUUGAACCCAGUUUAAGUUAUUGAGUAGCCAGAUGCAAUUAAUCAAACAAUACCUCUCUCCCUGAUGAGAUGACAUUCUCCACGCAUCACUCACAUCUUCCUAACGAGAGGGGCCUAGUUCAAGAUAGGUAUUUAUACAGUAACUGACAUCUCUGUUGAUAAUAAACUUACACUAAACGAGCUUUUCGAAAUCAUAAAUCUCUAUCUUAAAGUGUUCAUCCCCUUUUCAUUCCUACUGAACUGAGAGGCCAGCAAGCUUGCAGUGUGUUUCAUAACUUUGAUUGCUCGUGCUGUUCACUUUCUGAUAAACUAGAGAAUCACCAUUUCUCUUUUGUCUGAGGCAUAUUUUAAGUAGAGCUUGUUAGGAUGAGGAGAUGAUAACCCAGCUGCCUGCUCACAUUUUCUCACAACACAAAACAACACAGUAGUAACCUAUUUGUUGCAUUUCCUGCUUAAACACAUGGAUCCAUUUUGGAAAGAGUUAAAGGAAAUUUUAAAGUUGCUGAUACUCUUGGAAGCUGCUGAUUCUGCUCUGGGCUACAACAGCUUAUGAAAGGAGGACAACAGAGAUCAGACCAGAAAAGAAAGGAAAAGGACAGGGAGGUGAUGGAGAGAUGGCAGAGCUGUGAGGCAACGCAUUCUGUAAACUGUUUCCUCCUGUGACUUGCUGGAAGGACCAUAACUGCUUCCUCAGUUUAUCAGCUGUACCUGCAAAGGUGGUAGUCAGACACUUUGCCUCGUCCUGAAAUGUGAAGAAUAAGCUGUUAUGUGGGAUCUUCAUGCACAUCUUUAGACAUUAUGGCAAGGAAAAUACGACUCACAAUAUUAGUGAUGAAUGCAGCUAAAUUCUAAUCAUUUCCUAAAUAGAAAAACUCACAGAAAUCUGCGAGUGAAGUUACAGCACUGCUGGAAAUACUGAACUGACUUCACACAGCCUAAAGCAGGUUUAAUUUCUUGCUUUUCUAAGAGCAUUACAGUUUAGGCAUCACUGCUUGAAACAUCUGGAAACUUGCAUUAAAAAUUGUUGGACAAACCAUGCUCCAAAGUGCCCAUUUAGAAAUUUCAGCACAGUAAAAAUGGCACAUGGGUCAGAACAGAAUAUCCCAAGUUGGAAGAUACUCACAAGGAACGCUAAGACAGUUGGGAUUUUCUGAUGGAUUGAACAAAACUGUGAACUUAGCUUCCCAUAUUAUUAGAGCAGGACUACGCCAGCCAAAAAUUCUCAUUGCCUUCUUUGAAAAGUAGUGUAACAGAGCACUACAGCAAGUUUCUUCACUGCAGGACUGAGUGCCAAGAUUUAACUUCAAGAUAAGUCGAGUAUACAGCUCCAGUCAGACAAUAUAACAGGUCUUCUUCUAGUAUAUUUUCAUUCUUCCCAUGUUCCUUUGAUGCUAUAAUUUCCUCUAAGAAAAUGCAGUAUUUAUUUCUGAAAAUACUUUCUUCACAGAUAAUCUGUUCAAAUAUUUUGCAGGUUGCAUGCAAGUAGAAUAUUUUUUUUUUACUAAGAUCCAACUAUCCUAAUUCCACUCCAUCAUUUGAUCCUAUAUGACUUCUUAAUUUUUAUUUGUUUGCUCGUGAUAAAGAGCUUCCUAAGUUUGCCAUUCUCCUUGCACAUCACCUAUAAAGGACAAGCAGCAUGCAGGAAUACUUUGGACCUUCUUCUAAAUAAUACACCAAUAAAGCAUAACGUUCUGCAUGUGAUGGAAGCAAGCAACUGGUUGUUCAUGUAACUUUUUAACCACUAGUAAGCACAACAGUCAGUAAGGAGUCAUCAAAUUCCAACAUAAAAACCUAAUCAUCAGUUCAGAAAAAAGACAACAACAACCCACAAACCUGCUCUUCCCCCUUCUUGUUCCAACCUCUCCACCUCCUCCAAAAACAAAGAAACCUAAUCUAACUACUAGUUCUAGUACUGCCAGCUGAAUUUCAAUCAAAGAGUUGAAGCCUUCCCUAUCUCAGUCCGGUUUCUAUAAUAGCACGGUCAGACAAACCACUACAGAAGCAAUUCAAAGGUAUGGGUACAAAACCAAAAUAAAUGGGAGGAGCAGUACUGCACAGGGGAGCCUCAUAGCAAAGUCUACACUGACAGAAAGCCUAUGCUAGAGUUCAGAAUCCCAGAAACAGCAAUCCUUUAAAAUACACUAUUGUUAUGUCUUGAUUUGAAGUAAAUCAAGAAAAAAAUCUCUUCUUGAAAAUAUAUCCUUCCAGUACUUCAACCCACACAGUGCCUGGCCUACUUGUUGUGCCACACUUACUUGGCAUCCCACCUAUCUGGUUCACCCAAGUCUAUCACUUGGCCAUGGUCACAACUAUUUGAUCUCUAAAAGACUGCUUUGUUUCAAAGUGCUCUUGAAAUUUCUGUCCUGCCGUUUUACAGUACACAAAUCCACAUGUUAGUCACACAUCAAUUUGGACAGCAUGCCCUGUUACUCAAAAUGCAAUUAGCUCUCCUUAAAGUAAAUGUACGGUAUUGUUUUUAUUUGCAAAGCCAACUUGGUUACCUCUUGGUUUACCUUGGUAAAAAUGCAUUACACAGCCUGGCCAUAAUCAGUUUAGGGGAACUCAUUGUGGGUGAAAGUAGUGACUGAGACAAAGCCAUUGCCAGCAUUUCUCAGCAUAGAAACAGCUGCGUCGAGGACUCCCAUGUGCACGCUGACUGCUGUUAUCCCUACUGAGACUGUUUAGACUGUUUAUGGUAAUGAGACUUCACUUGCAUAAGUGUAGGUUCCAGCAUCUGGUCACGAGAAAAUCAAUUAGUUGUCUACUACAUUCUCUAGCAGAAAACAAAGACAAACUUCCAAAGUUCAAAUGAAAUUGGUUUGUAAAAGAAAUAGGUUACAAGUUCAUGCAUUUGGAGCCAAAUCUCCUCUAUGCUCACCAGGUUUGCUAUCUGUUACAAGGAAUAGAGGAAAUAGAGGUUUGGCUUUCUAACAAAGAAACAUCCUUAGGGACCUAAGGGGAAAAAAAAGCAUUUCCUGUCUGCUAGUUAAACUGAGAAUACACA
ensembl:lncRNA